UGGUGCUUCCAGCCGCCCUUAUAGUGAGCCUUAGUAAGGGCAGUUUGUGUCUCAGCCGCCUCUAUUGUCUGCAUUUGCAAGGGUGGCUCAAUCUAGAACCGCCCCUACAGUUAUUUUUCAGAAAAAAAAAUAAAAAUUACAAUAAUCGAGUUGACAGCACAGCACAGCACCACAUACAUAUAUACAUAUAUAAUCAGAUUCUCAACAUCACAGAUUCACAACAUAAAUAUCCAUACAUAUACACAGCACCACAUUUCAAGUCCAAAAUGUUUCCAAGUCCAUUACAAAUCCAUCCAAAAGAGUCCGAAAUUUUGCAAGUACUAAUACAAAUCGAUCACAGUCCAUUCCAACAAGUUCACAUGUAUCAACGACCUAGACAUAGCCUAUACCACUGACGGAGGUGCUGGUAAAGAGGAUUGCUACCUAAGUCGGACUAUGGGUUAUGGUAAUCACCUUUGUAAUAAACAACAUGGUCCAUUACAAAGUUGCAAAGGUCACCGACAAUGUCUAAGAGGUCAUCAUCCUUGUAGACAUCCGUUUUAGUCUUUUUUCUUCUUUCCACUACAAGAUCGUAAAAGACAAGUUUAGGUCUAGUGUAAAGAAGAGAUUGCAAAGCUAAGUGAGAAAUACUAUGUUUUCAUACUACAACCC
rnacentral:lncRNA from 1 species